UUUUAAAUCAGAAUUAUGCAGGCCAAAGCUACCGACAGUCGGCAGGAACCAACGCUGCAUAUGGACACAAAUGCGCGUCGCAAUUUCAUCAAAUACCUGGCAAAACUUGGCGAGAAACCCGGGACUACAGUGCGCUUUUUCGACCACUCCGAUUGCUAUACGGUCCAUGGCGGCGAGGAUUGCGAACUGGUGGCCAAGAUCGUGUACAAAUCCACGGCGUUUAUUGGCUUCCUGCUGCCGGAGGACAAGAAGGAUACCCUGCAGUUUGUGUCCAUGUCCAAGGGAAACUUCGAGUUGGCUGUCCGGGAACUGCUCCUGGUGCGGAAUGUCCGGGUGGAAGUGUAUGUGAAGAAUUCCAGCGACUGGCAACUGGAGUACCGUGGCUCACCCGGUAAUCUCCUGCAAUUUGAGGACAUCCUGUUCGCCAACAAGGAGGUUCUCGUCGGCAACAGCAUCAUCUCGCUGCUGGUCAAACUGGAGGGUGGUGGUCAGCGUCGCGUGGGCGUGGCCAGUGUGGAGCAGAACGACUGCAAGUUCCAGCUGCUCGAGUUCCUCGACGAUGACUUCUUCACCGAACUGGAGGCCACCGUGGUGCUCCUGGGUCCCAAGGAAUGCCUACUGCCCAGUUCGGAGGGCGACUAUGCGGCCGUGAAGACACUGCUCGAACGGAACGGCGUCAUGAUCACCGUGCCCAAGAAGAGCAGCUCCAAUGAUCUGCUGCAGGAUCUGAAUCGCCUGCUGCGAUUCGCCAAGGGACAGCAGGAGGAUGCCACCGGCUUAAAGGAGCUCCAGCUUCAGCUGGCCUCCAAUGCGCUCAAGACGGCCAUUAAGUACCUAGAUCUGGUCAACGAUGCCGGCAAUCUGGGCCACUACGAGAUCAAGCAACUGGACCUUAAUCGCUUUGUCCACUUGGACUCGGCUGCUGUGGCUGCCUUGAACAUCAUGCCCAAGCCGGGCACCCAUCCCUCCAUGCCCUCGUACCGCUGGCAGAGCAUUCUGGGUGUGCUGGACCAUUGUCGAACGCCGCAGGGUCACCGCCUGAUGGGUCAGUGGGUUAAGCAGCCACUGCGAAGCCGAGAUGUCCUCAAUGAUCGUCACAACAUCGUUCAGUGCUUACUAGAAUCGCCGGAUACAAUGGAGACACUUAGUCUGGAUUAUCUGAAGCGUAUUCCGGACAUCCUGAUGUUGACCAAGAAGCUGAUGCGUCGCAAGGCAAACCUGCAGGAUUUAUUUCGGAUUUACCAGGUUAUUCUGCGGACGCCAAAGAUUUUGAAGCUCCUGCUCGAGCUUGAGAACUCCACGAUAGAGAAUGUGAUCUGUGCGCCUUUUAAAAGUUUCUUGGAGGAUUUGACAGGACUGAAGCAAAUGGUCGAGCAGGUGGUUGACUUUGAGGCCAUCGAAAGGGGCGAGUAUCUGGUGAAGGCCUCGUUCGACAGUCGACUGAUGGAGCUGCAGCAGACCAUGACAGAGCUUUAUUCGAAAAUGGAACGGUUGCAGACCAAGUGCAGCCAGGAGUUGGAUUUGGAUGGGAAGAAUAUGGUAAAACUGGAAAAUGUGGCCAAACUUGGGCACCAUUUCCGUAUCACCUUGAAGGAUGAUUCUGUGCUGCGCAAGAACAAAAACUAUCGCAUUGUGGACGUAAUCAAGGGCGGCGUUCGCUUCACAUCCGAUAAGUUGGAGGGCUACGCCGAAGAGUUUGGCAGCUGCAGAACUCGCUACGAGGAGCAACAGCUGUCCAUUGUGGAGGAGAUCAUUCAGGUGGCUGUGGGCUAUGCAGCCCCACUCACGUCACUGAACAAUGAGCUUGCCCAGCUCGACUGUUUGGUCAGCUUCGCCAUCGCCGCCCGCAGUGCUCCCACUCCAUAUGUGCGACCCAAAAUGCUGGAGGAGGGCGCCCGCGAAUUGGUUCUCCAGGAUGUGCGUCAUCCCUGUUUGGAGCUGCAGGAGCACGUCAGCUUCAUCGCUAACAGCGUGGACUUUAAAAAGGAGAAAUGCAACAUGUUUAUCAUCACGGGACCAAAUAUGGGUGGAAAGAGCACCUACAUACGCUCUGUGGGCACUGCUGUGCUGAUGGCCCAUGUCGGUGCUUUUGUGCCUUGCAGCUUGGCCACAAUCAGCAUGGUGGACUCCAUUCUUGGAAGAGUUGGAGCUAGUGAUAACAUUAUCAAGGGCUUGAGCACAUUUAUGGUGGAGAUGAUUGAAACAUCAGGGAUAAUAAGGACCGCCACUGAAAAAUCCUUGGUGAUUAUUGAUGAACUAGGUCGCGGCACUUCAACGUACGAGGGCUGUGGCAUCGCCUGGUCCAUCGCCGAACAUCUGGCCAAAGAGACCAAGUGCUUCACUUUGUUCGCCACUCAUUUCCAUGAGAUCACCAAGCUGGCCGAGACUCUGCCCACGGUUAAAAACUGUCAUAUGGCUGCAGUGGCGGAUGCGGACAACUUUACCCUGCUGUACCAAGUGCGACCAGGUGUCAUGGAGAAGAGCUUUGGCAUUCAGGUGGCGCGUUUGGCCAAUUUUCCCGAGCAUGUUGUCCAGAAUGCGCAGGAGGUGUACAAUGAGUUCGAGGACGAGCAUGUGGACAAGCAGAAAAAGGAGGACAAGGCAAUCCUGGAGAAGAUCCAAGUGGCCAUUCAACAGCUGUCGACAGCAGGCAACAACGUGGACAUUAACGUCGAGGACUUGACCCAGCUGGUCACCCAGUUCACGAAGGACAUCGAGCAGCUGGAUAGCGAUUACUUCAAAUCCGUGCUGGCCACUAGUGAGGCUUAAAAGUGAAUAAAAAGGAAGCACUAACAUGCAGACAACAACAACAACAACAGCAGCAGCAGCAGCAGGAGCAACAACAAGGUGAAACCUCGUAACGUGGCCAACAAGCUAAGCCAGAGCGACGCAUAUUAAUCGCCAUGGCUUAGAGGCAAGGACUUGGAGAUGACACUGGGACACGGAAAUUCAAUCACAGAAACUAUAAAGGAAGCAGAAAAACUGCAGGCGUGUAAAUUGUUUUUACUUAAUCGUUGCGGACACAAACGCACAUGUUGUUUGGCCACAGCAGAAACAGCAACAACAACAACGGCACCAACAACGAGGCUUACUUGCCUCUUUUGGCCGAUCUCCUUUGAUAUCUGCUUGGCUCUGUGGCGCGCUUUUGGUAAUUGCACAUCGUCCGCUGCUUCUGUGUUACCAGCAUUGUUAGCCACUACCAUGAACACGA